rnacentral:sRNA from 1 species
ACUGGGUUGCUGAUCCAGCUAUGGAGAAAGCCGCAGUAGAUCUGCAGGACACAGCCUCGUUAACUCUGAAGUUUAAGUUUAACCCAAAGCUGGGCAUUGAUAAUCCUGUCCUCUCCCUGGCCGAAGACCACAACCCCUAUGAUCCCUGGAGCCUGGAGCGGCCUCGCUUCUGUUUACUGAGCAAAGAGGAGGGCAAGAGUUUUGGCUUCCACCUGCAGCAGGAGCUGGGCAGGGCUGGGCAUGUGGUGUGCAGGGUGGACCCAGGCACCUCUGCCCAGCGCCAGGGUCUUCAGGAAGGAGACAGGAUCCUGGCGGUGAACAACGAUGUUGUGGAACACGAAGACUAUGCGGUGGUGGUACGCCGCAUCCGGGCCAGCAGCCCUCGUGUGUUGCUGACAGUAUUGGCACGGCAUGCACAUGAUGUGGCCCGAGCUCAGCUGGGAGAAGAUGCCCACCUCUGUCCCACCCUAGGCCCAGGGGUCCGGCCCCGGCUGUGCCACAUAGUGAAAGAUGAGGGUGGUUUUGGCUUCAGUGUCACCCAUGGCAAUCAGGGUCUUUUCUGGUUGGUGCUAAGUACCGGAGGAGCAGCUGAGCGGGCAGGGGUGCCCCCCGGGGCCCGGCUGCUGGAAGUGAAUGGG